rnacentral:rRNA from 1 species
GACAGAGGGUGCAAACGUUGUUCGGAUUUACUGGGCGUAAAGCGCGUGUAGGCGGCCCUGCAAGUCGGAUGUGAAAUCCCACGGCUCAACCGUGGAAGUGCAUUCGAAACUGCAGGGCUAGAGUCCUGGAGAGGAAGGUGGAAUGCUUGGUGUAGAGGUGAAAUUCGUAGAUAUCAAGCGGAACACCGGUGGCGAAGGCGGCCUUCUGGACAGUGACUGACGCUGAGACGCGAAAGCGUGGGGAGCAAACAGG